rnacentral:rRNA from 1 species
UCGAGAAUCUUCCGCAAUGGACGCAAGUCUGACGGAGCGACGCCGCGUGCGGGAUGAAGGCCUUCGGGUUGUAAACCGCUGUCAGUGGGGUGGAAAUCGUAUGGGGCUAUCCCCAUAUGUUGACCUAACCGCAGAGGAAGUCCGGGCUAAGUACGUGCCAGCAGCCGCGGUAAUACGUACCGGACGAACGUUAUUCGGAAUCACUGGGCUUAAAGAGUGCGUAGGCGGUUUAACAGGUGGGGUGUGAAAGCCCACGGCUCAACCGUGGAAUUGCGCUCCAAACCGUUAGGCUUGAGGGAGACAGGGGUGAGCGGAACUGAUGGUGGAGCGGUGAAAUGCGUUGAUAUCAUCAGGAACACCGGUGGCGAAGGCGGCUCACUGGGUCUCUUCUGACGCUGAGGCACGAAAGCUAGGGGAGCGAACGGGAUUAGAUACCCCCGUAGUCC